AAAUUUCCCCCUUUCUCACCAACAGCACUCAUUCAAAGGGGCUCUUCAGCCAGAGGCAACAGGAACAGGCCAAAGUCAGUGGCAUUAUCAUCACUCAAGGAGCUCCAGAGACAGACACACACACAGGUGGGUGCAGGGAUAACUCAACACCUGCUGCUGGAUAAAACACACCUGAGCCUCUCCCAGAAAGCUUCUCCCAGCUCCUUUUGGAUAGAAAACCCACACCAGCAGCCUCAGGAGCUGGGGGUAUUUUCCUAGAUGUGCCAGGGGAUAUUUUUU
rnacentral:lncRNA from 12 species